CUUGGAGUAAGGUGGACCUAGAUUCAGUGUUUCUGAAAACCUCGGGACCUUAGGCAAGUUACUUAAAUCUCUGAGCCUCAGUUUCUUCACCUGCAAAACGGCAAUAGUAAUUGUCCACUUCCUGUGGUUGCUGAGGCUAAAAUGAGUGAGGCGCAGAUUACACGCCCCCAGUAAACGGUACUGCCCUUGAUUGUGCGAAGAUUCGCCCUACUCCCCUUAGAGUCAGCUGUCUCCCUGGCUUGACGAAGGAGCUACCGGAGACCACCAAGAGGCACCCCAGGUAGACAGGUGCCCUGCUAACCUUCCUGUAAAUUAGGCUCCCUGUCAGGAGCAAAGGCUUCGGAACUGACUACGUCUGAUUUUAACUUCUUGGGGUCGACAUGGUUGCUACUCACUGUCAUCAUCUGGGACUUUGCUUGAAAUGCAAAACCUCAGGCCCAACCCCAGGAGGCUUCUAAGAAGAAUCCGUAGGUGGUUCAGUCGGUUGUAUGUCAAAGUUUCAAAAUGAGUUCGACCUUUUGGAAAAUUUGAGAAGGGGGCUAGAAAGUUAUUGUGCUGCUCAGUGGCCACAUAAUACCUUAGGGUAUUUUUAAAAUAGACUACCAAAGCCCUUCCUCAUUUUACACUCUGGCUGUUCUGUCCCUUCCUCUCUCCUCCUUCUCCUGCUCUUUCACUAUAAAUCUGGAUCGAGGUCCUCUUUUCACUUGCAAAAUCCUCUAGGUUACUUGUAAGUAAUGAUUAGUGAAGUUGGUCUAAAACACACAGAAGAAUUAGCAAAUAUGGCUUGUAAAAGAAUUCAUUAACAUUCAAAAGGGACUUAAAAUAUUAAGGCAGUGGUGAGCUCCGGGCUCUCAUCUGUGAAGGUCUUUAGGUUAAAGGCUUGAAUACCUUUGCAAGUCAGAAAAAUUCUUCUCUUAGUUAAACAUUGUUGUGGGUGGCAAAGAAGCCCCACUUUACAUUUAAAUAAUGUAGGACAACUAGUUCCUUUAAAAAGUUUUGAAGAAUAGAAAAAAACUUCACAGGCUUUCUUCCUUCUAAGUCACUAGUUAUAGGGGCUCUAGCAAAGCCCAAAGCAAUUGUUUUAUUUUAUUUUUUUUGUUUGUUUGUUUAUUGUCUUUUUAGGGCCAUACCUGCAGCAUGUGGAAGUUCCCAGGCUAGGAGUCGAAUCAGCGCUUCAACCUACACUGUGGCUCAUGGCAACACUGGAUUAACUAGUAUGGAUACUAGUCGGGUUCAUUAUCCCUGAGCCACAACGGGAACUCCCCCAAAGCAUUUCUUUUAGGUCACUGAAUGCUGUGUGUUUGCGUUGUUCAGAUUAGGUUCGGCCGAUCCUAUCUCUGGCAGAAUGAUUUUCAUCUUUUGAGAGGUGAGUUAAUUGUGGAUUGUUGAUGCUCGUGCUGAUAGUGCCUGAUAAAGAAGGUUACUCCCAUCUGCCUUUCCCUUGCCCCCUCCCCCACCCAAGGCUGCUGAACAAGCUGGUACCAUGGGGAGGUAGAACAGGGGAAGAUGGAAUGAGGCGAGGAACCUCCAUUCUCUGAGGCUGGAGGGUCAGAGGAUCUGGGAAGGGGAGGAGAAACCCUCCUGCUUGUCUUGGAACCCAACCAGGGAAGAAGGAGGAAAUGCAACAUUUCUCCCAAACAGCACUAUCCAAAAGAAUUUUCUGCAAUGAUGGAAAUGUUUACACAGUCCAAAAUGGCUAUAAAAAUGUGGCUGUUUACAUUUAAAUUUUAAUUAAAAUUCAGGCUUUUUGUGUGUUUGUUUCUUAGUGCUAGUCUAUUGCAAUAACCACUUUUCAAGUGCCCUGUACUGAUGGGUGGCUAGUAGCUACCAUACUGGACAGCAUAUAAGACAUUUCCUUCAUCAUGGGAAGUUCAAUGGGACAGCAGUGCCUAGAUGCCAGGAUUGGAGUGAGAAGUUCAGAGCUGCUGUGCAGUUUGGGGGCUCUCUGACCCAGCUAGCGCUUCUUCUGAGAACACAUCUGAGAUAAGAUUACAUUUACCUGGACAGUAGGAAAGAGAGAGAAGCUACUGGUUUAUUCAUCCGACCAGAUGUUCAGUAUGACCAGAAAAACGGCUCAUUGCUCUCCCAGCCUAGUGGAGCCAGAUCACAUUGUUGCUGGAAAACUUCUAUGAAGCUAAGAGAUUGUUUUUUCCCUUAUGAAGAGAGAUUAGUGUUUAUCUGUAAGUACAGAUUUAUCACAAUAAGAAAUACGAGUUUGAGCUCUUUGGAGGAGAAUGCCAAUUGAUUAUACAGUGUGCAUUAUUAAUACGUCUUUUGGUUAUAUGAAAACUCAUAUGAAUCCCAUGUAAUCUCAUUUUAAAAGUAUGGGCUUUUGGCCAAGAACAUUAUGAUAAUCUAUUUUGGCAUUAGGCAUCAUCUGGAGAGGGUCUAAGGCAGGAUUAUUGAAUUAGAUUUGGCUGCUUGCUAACAGCACAUUGCAUUUCCCAUCAUCAAUGGAAGUGGAUGGGGGAGAGGAGGGGAAGGUGUCACGCUGGGAGGGUAGGAAUGGGUAAGGAUAAUGAGAACUAGCUCCAAGUUUCCUUCCAGUUAGUUGCUCCUGAUUCUUUAAUUCCAGCUGAGCCAAUUCCAGCCUAACGAAAUAGUCAUCAAGGGCCUUCUGAGUGCCAGGAACUGAGCUGACAGAGUGACCAUGAACAAUUUAGACACCCACUCUGUGCUAACAGAAUCUGGAGACAGUAAAUAGGAGGUGAACACGACUUGGCAAGACCAGGUGGUGACAUCAGCCAGCCCUUGGCUGUCCUCUGGAAAUGUCAGUUUGGCACAAGAAUUAGCCACGUAUAGUGAACAAAGACGUAGCUCUUUCUUGAAUAAAAUAUUUCUAGUCUCAGUUCUAUGGAAUGACCAUUGGAUGCCUUUGAAGUGGCCCCAGGAUUUGAAGUCCCAGUUGCCUUCCCUUGAAUGUUUCUUCAUCUCCUUAUUUGUUUGAGCUCCUUCGCUGUACCUACAUAUUUAUUGUAUUUCUUGUGUGCUAUUGGCCUUUUUAUUUUAUUUUAUUUUUUGUCUUUUUGCCUUUUCUAGGGCUGCUUCCUGUGGCAUAUGG